rnacentral:lncRNA from 1 species
AUGCAGGCAAGGAAGUACCCACAAGACAACUCUACAGGGAAACCUUCUGGGAAAUCAGCACUCUUGCUGGGUGCCUCUCUGAAGUACCUGUACACAAAUGCACGCAGCGUGGGGAACAAACAGGAGGAAUUAGAGAUCUGUGUACAGUUGCAGGGCUAUGAUCUCAUUGGCAUUACGGGGACACAGCGGGAUAGCUCACAUGGCUGGAAUGCUGCAACAGAUGGUUACAGGCCCUUCAGGAAGAACAGGCCAGGAAGGCAAGCAGGGGGAGUCAUCUUUUAUGUGAGAGAACAGCUGGAACGUAUGAAGCUCUGCCUAGGGGUGGACGAUGGGCUGUUUGAGAGCAUACAGGUAAGGAUUAAGGGGCAGACUAGCAUGGGUGACACUGUUGUGGGUGUUUGCUUCAAGCUACCUGAUCAGGAAGAGGAAGUAGACGAGGCUUUCUACAGACAGCUGGAAGUAGCCUCACAUAACCGUCCCAAUACCUGUUGGAGCAACAACACAGCAGGACACAAGCAAUGCAGGACGUUCCUGGUUAGCAUCCCUGACAACCUCCUGAUACAGGAGACAGAGGAGCCAAUGAGCAGAGGUGCUCUGCUGGACCGCAUACUUACAAACAAGGAAGGGCCGGUUGGAGAUGUGAAGGUCGGGGGCAGCACUGGCUGCAGUGGCUAUGAGAUGCUGGAGCUCAGGAUUCUGAGAGGAGGGAGCAGGGCAAAAUGCAGGAUCACAACCCCAAGGGCAGACUUGGGCAUCCUCAGGGACCUGCUUGUAAGAAUCCCAUGGGAUAGCACUCUAGAGGGAACAGUGGUCCAAGAAAGCUGGUUGAUAGUCAACGAUUGCCUCCUCCAGGCUCAGGAACAGGCCAUCACAAUAGGAGUUGAGCAAAGGGGGCAGGAGACCUGCAUGGAUGAACAAAGUGCUCCUGCCAAAACUCAAACAUCAGAAGGAGGUAUACAGAAGGCAGAAGCAGGGACAGAUCACCUCGGAGGAAUACUGGGAAACUGUCCAAGUAUGCAGGGAUGGGGCUAG